AGCCGGUUCAACUAUCAAAGAGCCCCUUCCAACGAAAAGACGCGUUAUUCAAACUUUGUCACCAUCUGACGCUUUAACUACAACUGGAAACUUUAUCACAACCAAAAACAACGGACAAGAAAAAAACGCCAACGACAAACGUACCGAUACAACAUAUACCACGAAACGCCAACCGAUUUCUAGCGAUGCAAAUAGAGAUAGCAUAGACACAAGUGUCUUGAAUCCGAGUGCUGCAAACAACGGAUUACAAAACGUGAUUAUCGCUGUUGUGUGCGCAGCGUCUGCGGUGAUCAUAGCAAUCGUCAUUGCCGUGUCAUGUUUAAAGCGUAAACGCCGAUCUGUUGCAAACGACCCACUUCAAGAUACGCCGUAAGUGUUUGUGAUUUGCAUGCAUAGACAACAGUAAAUUUGAUGCCUUCGUCUUACUCGUGUACAUAUUAUUAAUUGCCUUAAGCAUUCAUAGGGCAUAUACAACAAACUAUUCCCUUCACAUUUGGUGGUUUGCGAGUGUUUGAUAUUAUGAAUUGUAUUUUACUUCAUAUGCCUAAAUAAAUUGCUUUUGUGUUCUAUGUAGACAAUGCCUUGCACACAAAUGUUGUCUUUGUGAAUAGCACUGGGUGCUACAAGGAAAGCUCUCAAAAAUAGCAUGGUAUGCUUAGAGGAAAACAAAAUAUAACGUGUGUCCCUCUUCAAAAGUAGGCUUUCAACAUUCAAUUCGUAAAAACUAAAUAUACGUUGAACCCUUGCAUUUGUUCCCAUUCCAUUGUACUGAAAUACAAAUGAAGUUACUUAUUGUAUAUAUCUCACUUUUAAAUAUCCAUCCAAACGUGUUGCUUAUACGAACGCGUUAGUUAUAUCCUUGAGAUUAUUUCCUUCA